rnacentral:misc_RNA from 1 species
CCGAGUUUACAACUCCCAAACCCCUGUGAACAUACCUAUCGUUGCUUCGGCGGGAUCGCCCCGGCGCCCCCGGGCCCGGACCCAGGCGCCCGCCGGAGGACCCAAACUCUGUUUCUACUUUGUAUCUUCUGAGUGGCACAAGCAAAUAAAUUA